CAGGGGGUAGUUUAUACAAAAUACUAGCUUUGGGAGUUAGAGAAUAAACCCCCUGA
rnacentral:tRNA from 1 species